rnacentral:tRNA from 1 species
AAGUGAGUGGCGUAAUAUUAGCGUAUACGAUUUCGGCUCGUAAGGAGUAAAAGUUUACCUCAUUUU